CCUACGGGUGGCAGCAGUGGGGAAUAUUGGACAAUGGGCGAAAGCCUGAUCCAGCCAUGCCGCGUGUGUGAAGAAGGCCUUCGGGUUGUAAAGCACUUUCAGUGGGGAAGAAAGCCUUGGGGCUAAUACCCUCGAGGAAGGACAUCACCCACAGAAGAAGCACCGGCUAACUCCGUGCCAGCAGCCGCGGGAAUACGGAGGGUGCGAGCGUUAAUCGGAAUUACUGGGCGUAAAGCGCGCGUAGGCGGUCUGAUAAGCCGGUUGGGAAAGCCCCGGGCUCAACCUGGGAACGGCAUCCGGAACUGUCAGGCUAGAGUGCAGGAGAGGAAGGUAGAAUUCCCGGUGUAGCAGUGAAAUGCGUAGAGAUCGGGAGGAAUACCAGUGGCGAAGGCGGCCUUCUGGACUGACACUGACGCUGAGGUGCGAAAGCGUGGGUAGCGAACAGGAUUAGAUACCCCAGUAGUC
rnacentral:rRNA from 1 species